AGGCAAGGCGUGGGAAGAGGAAGAGAGACUCCUGUCCGGUGGGUGGCAGAGAAGAACCAGGAAGAGAUGAGGGAGUUGAAGAGUCUCUGCACCUUUGGUAGGACGCAGAGUAAGCCAAGGCACCGCCUGCCUGAGUAAAGAGGCAGUGAAGUCAGAGUGGGAAACGCAUCUAUCCUGCCUGUCCCUACCAUGGGCUUCUUGUUCCUCUGCUGUGUGGCCUUUUGUCUCUUGAGAACAGGCUCCAUGGAUGCUGGCAUUACCCAGACCCCAAAGAAUGGGAUUAUAAAGACAGGAAAGAGCAUUUUACUGGAGUGUUCUCAGACGAAGGGCCAUGACUAUAUGCACUGGUAUCGACAAGACCCAGGACUGGGGCUACAGCUGAUCUACUAUUCCUACGUCAAUGAUAUUAACGAAGGAGAGGUCUCCCAUGGGUACAAGGCCUCUCGAGAGGACCUGUCGAAAUUUUCCCUGUCCCUAGGCUCUGCCAUCCCCAACCAGACAGCGCUUUACUUCUGUGCCAUCAGUGAU